UACGAAGGGGGCUAGCGUUGCUCGGAAUCACUGGGCGUAAAGCGCACGUAGGCGGAUUGCUAAGUCAGGGGUGAAAUCCUGGAGCUCAACUCCAGAACUGCCUUUGAUACUGGCGAUCUUGAGUCCGGGAGAGGUGAGUGGAACUGCGAGUGUAGAGGUGAAAUUCGUAGAUAUUCGCAAGAACACCAGUGGCGAAGGCGGCUCACUGGCCCGGUACUGACGCUGAGGUGCGAAAGCGUGGGAGCA
rnacentral:rRNA from 1 species